UGUUGGAUGAUGAAGCGAAUCAUUCGGAUUCCCAUUGAUUUCCGUAAGAUGAUAUUGUUAACCAGCUACUUCUGACAACA